rnacentral:rRNA from 1 species
GAUCUUCUCGGCGGCGGCGACUCUGGACGUGCGUCGGGCCCUUCUCGCGGAUCUCCUCAGCUACGGUGAC